UACGUAGGGAGCGAGCGUUGUCCGGAUUUAUUGGGCGUAAAGAGCUCGUAGGCGGUCUGUCGCGUCUGCUGUGAAAAUCCAGGGCUCAACCCUGGACCUGCAGUGGGUACGGGCAGACUAGAGUGCGGUAGGGGAGAUCGGAAUUCCUGGUGUAGCGGUGAAAUGCGCAGAUAUCAGGAGGAACACCGGUGGCGAAGGCGGAUCUCUGGGCCGUAACUGACGCUGAGGAGCGAAAGCAUGGGGAGCGAACAGG
rnacentral:rRNA from 1 species